UGGAAGUUAAAAAAACGAAACAAGGUCUCCGUUGGUGAACCAGCGGAGGGAUCAUUACCGAGUUUACAACUCCCAAACCCAAUGUGAACGUUACCAAACUGUUGCCUCGGCGGGAUCUCUGCCCCGGGUGCGUCGCAGCCCCGGACCAAGGCGCCCGCCGGAGGACCAACCAAAACUCUUAUUGUAUACCCCCUCGCGGGUUUUUUACUAUCUGAGCCAUCUCGGCGCCCCUCGUGGGCGUUUCGAAAAUGAAUCAAAACUUUCAACAACGGAUCUCUUGGUUCUGGCAUCGAUGAAGAACGCAGCGAAAUGCGAUAAGUAAUGUGAAUUGCAGAAUUCAGUGAAUCAUCGAAUCUUUGAACGCACAUUGCGCCCGCCAGUAUUCUGGCGGGCAUGCCUGUCCGAGCGUCAUUUCAACCCUCGAACCCCUCCGGGGGGUCGGCGUUGGGGAUCGGCCCUUUACGGGGCCGGCCCCGAAAUACAGUGGCGGUCUCGCCGCAGCCUCUCCUGCGCAGUAGUUUGCACACUCGCAUCGGGAGCGCGGCGCGUCCACAGCCGUUAAACACCCCAAACUUCUGAAAUGUGACCUCGGAUCAGGUAGGAAUUCCCAG
rnacentral:rRNA from 1 species